GCCGUAAAUAACUUUUGAUUUGUACUCAAGAGUGAAGCAAGACUCCAAGGAAGAGAGAUUGACGCAUCGGGAGCGAAGAACAGAAACGAUGGAUGGUUACGCUGCUUGGGUCUCGGCACGUUCGAAUUGGCAAAGUUCCGAAUUUGUCGCUGUGUUUUGUACGCUUGUGCGCUCGUCAUUUGCCGUCGUCGCGCGGAGAUAUUUGCGCUGGAUGUCUUUCACUUCGUGUACAAAACUCUGCACGCUGCGGCAUCGAAGAAGUUGUCCUGUGUUUGGGUGCACGUAUGCGCUUGGACACGGAUAUAUCCUGCUUGCUCUCAACGGGUGUUCAACAGUCUACGCGCACUCGUAACUUGCUCAUGAGGCAAGUUGCUGUUGUGCUGGAGCUGAGAAGAGGUCUGCUGCCUGCAAUGGGUCCAUCUCUCUCAAGUUAUCGCAGUAUUGUAGCUCUGAAAGUUCAAAAAAGUAUGGUGGAAGCUGUUGCCAAGGUUCCGACCAGAA